rnacentral:misc_RNA from 1 species
AAAAAAAAAAAAGAAAUUGAAGGGAGAGAGAAAGGAAACCAACCCAACGCACAAUGGGAAAAAAGAAGAAGCUCUAAGGGCAAAAGGGUCUGCCCAAACGAGUCCUAUGGCUAGGAAUAGUGAAGUGUCUUAUCCUCCCUUCUUGCUCCGUCAAGUACCCUUCACAGAGAAAAGCUUUAGAAAACUUAUCUUCCACCGCUCUAUCCACAUCAUGGACAAACACAUCGGUCUCUCCGUUCUCUCUGUUCCUCGCCAUCAACCCCGCCGUGUAAAUCGCCGUCAUUCUCCCCGGCGCCUCGUCGUGAUACCCAGUUGGCGCAUCCACCAUGAUCAAGUCCCAUUCUAUAUCAUACACAUCGCUAGGGAACCCCUUGAGUGAAAGUUGACACUUUGAGAAUCUUGGAUCACUCACAACUUUGCAAUCUUCCGCCUGUCCUGUCUCCAUCAACCCAUCUGCUUGAUGCACUUUGGUGUCGUAGCUCACAUGGUAGGAUUCUAAACUGGGUAUUUUCUCCUUGAUCUGCUCGAUCCAGGAC